CGCAGACUAACAGGAUUCCCCUAGUAGCGGCGAGCGAAGCGGGAAGAGCUCAAAUUUAUAAUCUGGCACCUUCGGUGUCCGAGUUGUAAUCUCUAGAAGUGUUUUCCGCGUUGGACCGCACACAAGUCUGUUGGAAUACAGCGGCAUAGUGGUGAAACCCCCGUAUAUGGUGCGGACGCCCAGCGCUUUGUGAUACACUUUCAAUGAGUCGAGUUGUUUGGGAAUGCAGCUCAAAUUGGGUGGUAAAUUCCAUCUAAAGCUAAAUAUUGGCGAGAGACCGAUAGCGAACAAGUACCGUGAGGGAAAGAUGAAAAGCACUUUGGAAAGAGAGUUAACAGUACGUGAAAUUGUUGGAAGGGAAACGCUUGAAGUCAGACUUGCUUGCCGGAGCUUGCUUCGGUUUGCAGGCCAGCAUCAGUUUUCCGGGGUGGAUAAUGACGGUUUGAAGGUAGCAGUCUCGGCUGUGUUAUAGCUUUCCGUUGGAUACGCCCUGGGGGACUGAGGAACGCAGCGUGCUUUUUGCGAAAGACUCGUCUUUUUCACGCUUAGGAUGCUGGUGGAAUGGCUUUAAACGAC
rnacentral:rRNA from 1 species